rnacentral:rRNA from 1 species
AGGCCAGACUCCUACGGGAGGCAGCAGUGGGGAAUAUUGCACAAUGGGGGAAACCCUGAUGCAGCGACGCCGCGUGAGCGAUGAAGUAUUUCGGUAUGUAAAGCUCUAUCAGCAGGGAAGAAAAUGACGGUACCUGACUAAGAAGCCCCGGCUAACUACGUGCCAGCAGCCGCGGUAAUACGUAGGGGGCAAGCGUUAUCCGGAUUUACUGGGUGUAAAGGGAGCGUAGACGGCUGUGCAAGCCAGAUGUGAAAGGCCGGGGCCCAACCCCGGGACUGCAUUGGAAACUGCGAGGCUGGAGUGUCGGAGAGGCAGGCGGAAUUCCUAGUGUAGCGGUGAAAUGCGUAGAUAUUAGGAGGAACACCAGUGGCGAAGGCGGCCUACUGGACGGUGACUGACGCUGAGGCUCGAAAGCGUGGGGAGCAAACAGGAUUAGAUACCCGGGUAA